rnacentral:rRNA from 1 species
GCAGCAGCCACGGUAAUACGUAGGUGGCAAGCGUUGUCCGGAAUUAUUGGGCGUAAAGGGCUCGCAGGCGGUUUCUUAAGUCUGAUGUGAAAGCCCCCGGCUCAACCGGGGAGGGUCAUUGGAAACUGGGAAACUUGAGUGCAGAAGAGGAGAGUGGAAUUCCACGUGUAGCGGUGAAAUGCGUAGAGAUGUGGAGGAACACCAGUGGCGAAGGCGACUCUCUGGUCUGUAACUGACGCUGAGGAGCGAAAGCGUGGGGAGCGAACAGGAUUAGAUACCCCAGUAGUCCCUGUCUCUUAUAC